ACUCAAUGAUAAUUAAUUUGUAGGAGUUACUUUAGAUGCACUUACAAGUUUGAUCAAGGUUGUAAAGCAACCAAACAGGUGCAGCGAUGUGAAGAAAAUCCUGAUAUGUACCAAAUAACAUACAUUGGCUUGCACACAUGCAAUGCGUCUCUCCUCAAUAGGAAUGAUGAAAGUUUGCAUGAAGGAUCAGAUCUCGAAAUGCAGAAUCGGGAGAAUGAUAGCUUAUAUAGUCAAUUUCGAGGAAAACAGAAGAUAAUUGAUUAUGAAAGCUCAUGGUCCUUAUUAACUUUAAGUUCUGACAGAAACACUGAUACAACAUUGUCAAAUUCACACGAUUAUUCCGGCCCCUCGUGAAUUUAUCAUGUAUAUAGUUUUCGUUAAUUACUGUAAGUUAAUGUAUUUUGGUUUUUGAUUUCAAUACUCAUGAGAACUGAAAUUAUGAAUGAGAGGAAACAUAUAGAAUUAUAUAUCUUAAUAUUGGGAAUCUAGUUUAUUUAACUAUAAUGUAUCAAUAAGAAAAUAACAUUUUGUUGA